rnacentral:lncRNA from 1 species
CCAGAUAGCUAACUUGUUUAAAGGAGGAAAAACCAGGACAUUUUAACCUUGAUAAAUGAAAGUAUAACACAAUAAAUUUCUAUGAAAUAGAUUUGUUCCAGAAAACCAAGACGGUCUUUUGAGUGAAAAAGUAAAAUCAACCAUUUAAUCUAAAAUUUCCCAGGAAAGUACAUUCUAACAAGAUGAAAGACAAAAGAUUAGUCAUUGCCCUUUCUUUUGUUCUUUCUCUCUUUUUUUCAAACUGAGACAGAGCCUUGUUCUGUUGCCCAGGCUGGAGUACAGUGGCAUGAUCACAACUCUCUGCAGCCUUGAACUCCUGGGCUCAAGAGAUCCUCCUACCUCAGUCUUCUGGGUAGCUGGGACUAGAGGCAUGUGCCAUCACAUGUGGCUAAAUGUUAAACUUUUUGCAGAGACAAGGUCUCUAUGUUGCUCAGGAUGGUCUCAAAUUCCUGAGGUCAAGCCAUCCUCCUGCCUCAGCCUCCCAAAGUGCUGGGAUUACAGGUGUGAGCCACCACGACUGGCUCCCUUUGUUAACAGAAACAGAAAAAAAUAAAAUGACAUAAAACGUAAUAAAAUACAGGAAGAAAAACCAGGAUCUAAUGAUAUAACUAAUGAGACUGGAAUAGGGUGGAAAUAAUGGGGAAGUGGGAACAGGUUAAUAAGGAUGAGGGGGAAAUGACACUUUUGAGUAUAUCGUUUUUUAUAUAGUUUAAAAUCAUGGUAAUGUUUCACAUAUCCAAAAUAAAACGAAUAAUUAAAAUUAACCAGAGCAUGGCAGGAACCCAAAAUGGAAUAUACAGGGUAACAAAUGAAUAAUUUGUUACAAUUGAGUAACAUAAUCACAUUGAAGGGGGUGAGGAAGAAAGAAGUUACCUCAGUUGGAAAGCAAGUGUUUUGAAUAUACACUAUAAGACUGAUGACAAAAGGUACUAUAAACAAAUAUUUCCUAAAGUCAGUUUGUCACAGGGGUCUAGGUUAGCAAUUCUAAAACCAUCUUACAUAUACACUAGGAUGGGAGCAAUGAGUAUGCUGUGGAGAAUGAGAGCAUUUUCUCACUUCUGGAGAAUGGAGUUUCAAAUGAGCAAAGGGCAAAUAAACUUGUGGUGUUGGAUUGGAACUGGAACUGCAACUGCCAAAUCUUGCUGUUGUCCAGGCUGAAGCACAAUGGCACAAUCACGGCUCUCUGCUGUAGCAUUCAUCUCCAGAGCUCAAGUGAUUCUUCCACCUCAGCCUCCCAAGUAGCUGGGACUACAGGGACGUGACACCACACUUGACUAAUUCUCUUGAUGCUUUUUAGUAGAGAUGGGGCCUCACUAUGCUGUCCUGGCUGGUCUCGAAUUCCUAAGCUCAAGAGAUCCUC